GGAUUUUUCAUUUUUUUCUGAUUUACUUUUUCUUGUUCCUUUGUUCAUUUUCUAGUGGGACGCUGUUGAUUGCUUAUUGGUAUAAUAUUGUUAAAGUUGGUAUAAAUUGUUAAAGUUUUCCCUUUUUACAUUUAAUUUUCACUUAGUCGAAAUUAAUGUUGGUGCGUGACGUAAGGCAGUGGUGUGCUGGGCCAGGCUUAACAACUGUCGCUGUGGGAGAGGAAGCCUUGAUUUGUAACAUUUGCUAAUUUCUGUGGUGUAAAUACACACAUGUGGUGAAUUUCAAGCUCCCACUGAAUGCAGAGAAGGGAAGGAUGUAGACAGUUGGCUUGGGCUCCAGCACCCCACAGGAUAAGGGUAGCCAUCACCACCAUCUUAGAGAUGGAAAGCUGAGCCGUGAAGAAAUCAAGUGACUGGCACAUGGUCUGCAAGCUGGACAUUAGAAGAUCUGAAAUGGAAACCAAACAUCCUCCUUCUCCAUCAGCACCUACCGCUGUCUUUGCACGACCUUUUGGAAAAGGAGGGCAUGGCCAACCCUAAUGUCCUGCAGGAAAGUUGGAAAGCUGUGUCUCCCUUUGGCGCGUGCUUGUCCCUGUUGGUCUCUCCCGAGUGAAUCUGGUGUGUCAGUUGUGAGUGGAAUGAAAGGAAAGACUCUGGUGCCUUCGAACAUUACUUAAUAAAUGCCUGAGAGACUCUUGUCUUAGCCAGAGCCGGGGGCUCCUUUGCAGACAACCACAAGAAAGGAGCGGCAGACCCUGCGCUCCCCUCAAUUCUGGAGCAAACACAAUAGUAUUUUUUUAAGGAUAAUAUAGAGGUAGAGAAUGUGACUGCUAAUUUCUUUUUGGAGACAACGGAGGAAAAGAAGAAUAGAGAAGAAUUUAUUUUGGCAACAAUUCUUGAUCUUCUUUUUACAAAGAAAGUUAAAACCAUAAUUCCCUCAGGUGCAAAUGCUGUAGCCUGGAAAAACCUUCCUUAAAAGACAUUAAAUCAGAGAAAUAGAUAAGCAAAGAGGAAAUUUACCUGCAGCUGUAUCAAAUGGCCUUAGGUUUUGUCUUUGUAUGAGAUCAGAAACUAGGAAAGUUUUAGGAAAACAUUUCAAUUUCAAAAAUCUAAAUAUUGAAUGUGGAAAAUGUGAAUAGUAAGUUACCUUUCUGGCAGAUUGCGAGAGAUAGGACCAAAGUCACAGCCUUUUUCUUUUUAAUGCAGGAGAAGAAUGCCCGGAGAGGAGAGUGAGGGGGGGUCCCCAGGCCUGAGCUCUAGUCCCAGCUCUGCUGCUCUCCAGCGCCGGACCAGCGUUUCUUGUCAUAAAUUCCCUUGGGGAGGAAAACAUUGAGCCUCUUGAAGAGAACUAUUCCUGCCGUAAGUUUGGCAACCAGAAGACCAGCUCCUUACAGUAACAGGGAGUGAGCAUGGCUAUGGCUUUGAGCAGGGUCGCCUGAGAACAAAAUGCAGAAACAUCAUCCCUGCAAGCCUGCAGUCCACUCCACCCACGGCUUCCUCUGCCUUGAGAAUUGUAUCAUCACUAUGCAAACCAGAACACUCAUUGCGAGACCUGUUGAGUUUUCUUCUUGACUUCUUCGUUUCUUCACUCUGUGCUCUCCUCUGCUUGCCCGGGCUGUUGCUGCAGCCCACUCCCAGGCCACCGCUCCUAUCCUUCCAACCACCCAGUUGUCACACAGCUGCUGGAGGGUUCUUGCACGUUGAAAUUGUGUAUCCCUCACUUUCUUCAAAAUCUUUCUGUAGUUCACCAUCGCUGCAAUGACAACACGUUAGCUCUGUAGUUCCCUGUGCAAGAUUCCAGGCCACGCACAGUUCUGUGUUUUCUCCUGUUGGGACAUGGUCACCCUCUUUCUUGAACCUGAUUUACCUCUGUUCUUCUGGUUUAUUGAAUUAUAAUUGUUGAAUACUUACUUAUCUCCUGAAUUAUUUCUCCUCUCACAAGACUCCUCUGUCUUGCCCCUCAGACGCCCCCAG
rnacentral:lncRNA from 1 species